ACUUGAUGUCAUGUGUAUGAUUGA
rnacentral:siRNA from 1 species